rnacentral:lncRNA from 1 species
AUGUCAGGCUCCAGCCCCAGUUCAGUCGUGCUCUGCUCAGGCUCCAGCCCCAGUUCAGCCGUGCUCUGCUCAGGCUCCAGCCCCAGUUCAGCCGUGCUCUGCUCAGGCUCCAGCCCCAGUUCAGCCGUGCUCUGCUCAGGCUCCAGCCCCAGUUCAGCCGUGCUCUGCUCAGGCUCCAGCCCCAGUUCAGCCGUGCUCUGCUCAGGCUCCAGCCCCAGUUCAGUUGUGCUCUGCUCAGGCUCCAGCCCCAGUUCAGUUGUGCUCUGCUCAGGCUCCAGCCCCAGUUCAGUCGUGCUCUGCUCAGGCUUCAGCCCCAGUUCAGUCGUGCUCCGUUCAGGUUCCAGCUCAGCCUUGUCACGUUCAGGUUCCAGUCCAGCCCUGUCACGUUCAGAGUCCAGCCCAGCCCUGUGUUGUUCUAGUUCCUGUUCCUGUCGGCUCCUGCGAGGAUGCCGUUCUAGUUCCCGUUCCUGUCGGCUCCCGCGAGGAUGCCGUUCUAGUUCCCGUUCCUGUCGGCUCCCGCGAGGACGCCGUUCUAGUUCCCGUUCCUGUCGGCUCCCGCGAGGACGCCGUUCUAGUUCCCGUUCCUGUCGGCUCCCGCGAGGACGCCGUUCUAGUUCCCGUUCCUGUCAGCUCCCGCGAGGACGCCAUUCUAGUUCCCGUUCCUGUCGGCUAACGCGAGGACGCCGUUCUAGCUCCUGUUCCUGUCGGCCCUGGAGGGGUCACCCCCACUGCAUCCCCUGCUGCGAGUCCCGCCGACCUCCAGGAGGAGGCCACCCCAGUAUUGGUUCCGGUCGACCUCCAGGAGGAGGUCGCUCCUGUCGCAGUUCCUGCUGCGGUUCCCGACAACCCCCAGGAGGGGGUCGCGCCCGCUGCAGUUCCUGCCGACCUCCAGGAGGAGGCCGCCCCAGCAUCGGUUCCUGCCGACCUCCAGGAGGAGGUCGCGCCUGUUGCCGUUUCCGCUGCAGUUCCUGUUGGCCUCCAGGAGGGGGUCGUUCCUGUUGUAGUUUCUGCUGCAGUUCCUGGUGA